rnacentral:lncRNA from 1 species
GGGGUUCUUUGCGAGGGGUGGCCAAUUAGAAAAGUUUAUGUCCACUUACUAAGGAUUCAGAGAUCGAUGGUCUUUAGAGGAUACGUCCAAUUCUUCUUUGUGUGUUAAAGAGCAAAUUACCCAACCUGAAACACUUUGAUAAUUUCUAAAGAAAAAAUAUUUUAUUUAUUGUAGUUAGGUUCACAUAACAAUAGAAUAUGUCUUAUUAAAAUUAUACUUGGAGUGGCUAAGUUUCAUAUUUGAGGUACAGAUGUCUCGUCAAGAUGCUCAAAAUAGUAGAUCCGGAAGUGAACGACUUCCAUCACUCU